rnacentral:lncRNA from 1 species
AGGGUCGGGCCGACAACGUCGGGGCCGGUGGGGUCGGGGCAGCCACAAGCAUGGAGGGAUGCGGGCUCGGGUCCGCAGGGUUAGGCCGACGGGGUCGGGAUGGCUGUGGGCAUGGAGGAACACGGGCUUAGGGCCGCAGGGUCGGGCUGGCGACGUUGUGGCCAGUUGGGUCAGGAUAGCCACAGGCAUGGAGGGAUGCGGGCU